GACGAACGCUGGCGGCGUGCUUAACACAUGCAAGUCGAACGAUGAAACUGGAGCUUGCUCCGGUGGAUUAGUGGCGAACGGGUGAGUAACACGUGAGCAAUCUGCCCUUGACUCUGGGAUAACUGCGGGAAACUGUAGCUAAUACCGGAUACUUUCACUGGAAGGCAUCUUCUGGUGAAGAAAGAAUUUCGGUCAAGGAUGAGCUCGCGGCCUAUCAGCUUGUUGGUGAGGUAAUGGCUAACCAAGGCGACGACGGGUAGCCGGCCUGAGAGGUUGACCGGCCACACUGGGACUGAGACACGGCCCAGACUCCUACGGGAGGCAGCAGUGGGGAAUAUUGCACAAUGGUCGAAAGCCUGAUGCAGCAACGCCGCGUGAGGGGUGAAGGCCUUCGGGUUGUAAACCUCUUUUAGCAGGGAAGAAGCGAAAGUGACGGUACCUGCAGAAAAAGCACCGGCUAACUACGUGCCAGCAGCCGCAGUAA
rnacentral:rRNA from 1 species